rnacentral:lncRNA from 1 species
UCCCAGCCUUUGGGAGGCCGAGCCUCAGUACAAUAAGUUGCAGCAUUUCCCUUCUACAUGUGGCAUGUGGACCUGAGGUUCAGAGAGAUUAAACAAAGCUCUCUAGAGUCACAAUGCCAGGAGAUAAUAAAGCCGGGGCUUAGCACUGGAUCUUUCCUCCCCAAACACAAACAAAGUGUGCAAAGGCACAGAAGAGACUAUCAGGCAGGGAGGAGGGGCUUUGAGCCAGACUUUAAAAGAGGAAAGGAGAGGGAAGAGGGGCAGGGAGGCAUUCCAGGCAGGAGACUAGAGCAUGGUUAAAGUCCUAGAGACAUGGAAGUGCAGGGUGAAUCAGAGUUCCGGAAAUGGCACACAGGGGAGUGGGCUUGGCUAGGGAUGUGGGAGCCAGGUGGGAGGGUAUCCUAGGCCAGGUCACGGAUACCUCUGAAUGCCAGGCCAAGAUACAUCUGAACAUUCACAGAUCUUACCAUCCAGCAAUAAACUUCUUGAGAUCUAUACCCUAGAUAAAGCCCUGCUCCUGUGCACCAGGAGAUAUACAUAAGAAUGUUCAUAGCAGAAUUGUAAAUAAUGGUCAAAAAAAAAAAACUACAAAUAAGCAUAAUGUCUACCAACAAAUAAAUAAGAUUUUU